UGCUGGUUUUUGAGGAUGCCCUGUGGGGAGGAGGCAGAGCGGCUUCAGCUCUGCCCUCCAGACUGCUCUCGGUGCUCGUCGGAGCCGCGGAGUUUCAUCGGUCCCAAACCUGCUGGGAAAGGCCCCGUGAAGCCGCCGGAGCCCUGGCACAGCCCGAGCAGCCCCAGCCCGGCGCGUCCUUCCCCCGCUGCUCCCGUCCGAGGCCUUCGGGGCCAAAGGGCUCCCUGAGGGGACAGCCCAGGGUGCGACCCCGAGCACGGGAGAGCCCCAGUCCUGCUCUAGCAGAGGCAGCACCAUCAGGAGUUAACCAGAAAGCGAAACUUCUGAAUUUCGCGGAAAGCAGCUGACACACAACUGCCGUGCCUGGGGGGAGCUUUUCCGAACGCCGUUGGCCCCUCAGAGCGAAACAAGACUUUGGUGUCGCGGAGUGUCGCGGUACCGGGAUUAGAGCAGCCUCAUUGCAGCUCUCGCUCCUGUCCCGCUGCCCAUGAGCUUUCUUCCAGUUGCCGUGGCAUACUUCGCGGUACUGGUCAUAGGCGCUGCAGUUUUGGCGAUAUACAAAGACAAGAUAAUCCUCAAAAUAAAUAAGGGAUCUUUUUCCUUCCAUUUUCAAGCUGGGGGAAAACAUAAGGACUGACUCUGCCCUGCAAGCAGCAGCAGGCAUCAUGCUGUCCAUUGGAAGAACUCCUGGUGCCCACUGCCAGCGAGCAGAAGGUGAUUUCCUUCCAAUUGGCUUCAUUCAUGUGUUCCCACUACUGGAACUGGAAAGCCCACAGAGACCCCCAGCUGCUCCUUCAAAAAUUUUGGAUUGCCUUGAGCAAUAAAUGCUUUUGAAACCUUUAAUGAAA